GAAGAAUUCCAAAGAUCAAUAAAGAUCAAGAGGCCCUCUGGGCAAAGGGCCUGUUCAGUGUGGACUUGAUCACAGGCUGCUGGCCAGCGGGGAAGAUGGAAGUCGCCGGCUUGACUGAGACAUUCACCCCAGCCUUAGAUUUAGGGCAGGACCCUCUCACUGUGUGGUCACCCUUUAUUUUCUCAGCUCUUAUUUAAAAAGAAGAAGAAAAAAAGAAUGUCUGGACAACAGCUAAGGCAGGCAUCCAGAAAUAGGAACACUUUUCUUAGAACACAGCCCAGAUGCAAACAUCAGGAGCAGACACUGCCCAGAUGGCGGCUUUACCCCAGCUGGACUCCUCUGAGGCUUUGGUGGUGGACAGCCCUGUGCCGCAAGCUGGAGUAAGCCGAUUCUCCCCAUGGGGGAAGCAGAAUGGAAAAGGAUUGAUCGGGCUGUCGUCCAAUGGGAAAGACAAGCACAAUGACUAAGAAUAAGCCCAAGCAGAUUGCUGACAAGUAAAAACGAUGCCAUGUAGACGAAGCUGUUAAUAGGACUUAAGAAAGAGCAAGAAUGGAGAAAGGGAAGAACAGAGAGAAGAGAAAGAAAAAGAGGCAAUGUGAGGAAGAGAGAGGGGGAAAAGGGAAGCAAAGGAAGGGGGAGAGAAUGAGAGACAGACAGAUAUACGCACUCUCCCCUUUAUGAUUCUACUGACCCAUGGAGUUUUUCCGUCCUUGCCAUUUUGGCUGUUUUUGACUCACUAGAAGUUGUUUUUGAAGCCAGUUCCUAGUCAUGAAACUAAACAUGAAAUGAUCGCUCUGGUGAAGCAAAAGCAUCAAACAAAUGACCUAUCAGGAUCCAAGAGCAGCCAUGCAGAAAGCCCAUGGGCUGAAGCAGGUGGUGGCCUGGUGCUGCUGCUGAUCACCUGGACUACUGUGGGCAGCUGACAUCACCUCCUGAGCAUCACUUUCUUCAUCUGUAAAGUGAAUUCGGAAGUGUCAAGUGGAGUUGUUGUGAGAAUUAAAUAAAACAAGCCAGCUUUUCUAGCCAAUUAGACUUUCCUAUCAAACAAUUCCUUCUUAAAAACAAAUUGAUAGUGGUUUUACUUUAAAAACCUAAUAUAAAUUGAUACCCAACAUGGCGUUUUGGAAAGCUUUUAUUUAGAGGAAGAGUUAGGAGCAGUUUGCUACCUCUUGCACUAAUUCUUCUUAUAAAAUAACCAGUAAAGCCUCUUCUUCAAACCCAGCACCAGGAGUGAGGCCUUUACCUCCUCUAGGACCUGACACUAGGAACCCACUGUUGCCUUUGUCCUGGUGGCUGACCAGGAUCUGCCAUCUCCUUCUGCACUACAAUAAUUCUCCUGUCUUCCCUUCACAGCCCUUCCUUUUCUUUCCGUUGUUUUAGUAGGAAAAACAACUAAAUUCUGAAUUUCUCCUUAUAAGUGUGUUUUUCUACCUGCCAACAUUUGCUGGUCAACUUGCUACUUUCUGAAGCCCCAAGGUCCUGGAUCCAAAUUUGCAUUCAACACAUGUUUGCCUUAAUCUUGGAUCUACCAAAUAUUUUCCUUAGGCUUUGAACAUGAGCUGUAUUCCUUAGUUAUUACAAUGCAAAAUGCCAUUCCAACAGCAAUUCUGAUUCACUCCAAACCCUGUUAUACUAUGGAAAUUCAACAGAUCACCAAUUGAGGGGGCACCAUGGAAGCACAGUGCCCCCAUCUUUCUUUAUUUGGAGUUCAAAAUCCAGCAUGGUCCAGGGAUCACCACCAGCCUCCUCCUUUCCCUAAAUUCCAGGAUUGUUAACUCUGGAGGAUUCAUCAAAGAAGAGUUACAUUCUCCCUGCUGACACGCCACACAGCCCCUUCCCAUUUCCAGGGGGUUUGUGCAAGCUGUAAAUCCCCGGGGCAUCUGAAUUCCCCUUAAACAAAAGUCUGUCUCCUAACCAAACAGAACCUUCUUGAAGUCAGCAAAAUGGCUACUUUGUGGCAUUAAAAGGAUUUUUCCUCCCAUAGCCUUGUUUUCUUUUGGCCUCCCUUCCUCCCAGAACUUAAGAAGCAAAUGGGAAGAGAAGUGUGCGAGGAAAAGAAUGAAAGGAACAAUGACGUAUAAUAUCCCAAAAAAGAUCUCUGACCAGUAAUGAUAGGGUUGCUAGCUGGGAAGCAAGGAUCACUGAAACCACAGCCUUUCCACUGUCUUAGAAGCUAUAAUCACACUCUAAACAUAAAGGUAUGGCAUCCAAACCACCCACUGUUCCCUCCCAGUGCGGGCCUGGAAGCCACACUCUCAGUUACACUGUCAUCACAUGGGUCACAUUUUGCCACUAGGAGCUCAAUCCUGCGAUUCUGGAUAGCAUUCUUGAUCUGGGUCUCUAUGUAAUUAUGACUGACUAUGGGCUGUAGAGGUGGAGAGUUAUAAAGCUCUAUAAUGGCCCUAUUAGUAAAAUGAGGCUCAAAUUCUAUGGCAUGGGCACAAACGUACAUGUAUAUGCUCAGAAGUCUUUCUGUAACACAAAGAACCCAUGUGGUACACAAACCCAAUUCUGUACUCAACCUACAUAAAAUGAAAAUAUUGGUUAUAAAUUUUAACAUGUAAUUAAUUGCUUGCCUUCUUACAGUUUAAAGGCUUGUGGACAGAUGUUUUGAAUAAACUAAGCUUCUUAAUAUAUAUAAAAAAGGCAAGUUAAAACUGGUAUUUAUUCUUCUUCAAUAUAUUUUUCUGUAGCCAAUGUAAGUAUUUAAGAAGUUGUCAGUGUUUUUAAGCUUGAGGAGGUCAGGAUCCAUACGUUAUGUUAACUGGAUAGAUUGUAUAGUGUCCAAAGUACCUGUGCAUAACCAGGGAAGACAAAGGAGGUGGCUCCAGGCUGCCCCGCAGAGUGCCUGGUAUUAAUCUGAAAACAAACUGUGCCUCUACUCAUUGCCAAGCAAACGCUGACUUCACUGAUGCCUGUUGUCUUCAUUAGAAGCUCUGCAUCAAAACAAAUACUCUAAUAAAUAUGCUUGUUAUAUUUUAUUAUCUAUUCUAGAGAUGAUCUUUUCAUCUUUUUAACCUACCCACAUUUUAUGUCCUUAGAUGCCUUAAACAGGCCCACUAGGCCUUCAGUUAAAUAAACAAACCGUUAGGCUGAGAAACUAUGUCAAAUGGGCACAACUGGCAGGCUAUUAAUAAAUCUAGACACUUAAGAAUUUUAGCCUUGAUGGAGAUACUCCAGGGGGAAAAAAUUUUAAAUAUUCUAGCCCAAGGAAGCCCCCAGCAAUGACUCAGUCCAAACGCUGUGAAAUAUAUACUGUAUUUCAGAUAUUCCUGGGCUCUGCAGGAAUUUGAAUUAAUCAUCCUGGAUCAGGACUCAUCCUGGGUCAGGAGGAAAGACAUUCAUUGCUUGGUUAACUAUUGGGGAAUUUUUUUUCCCUAGCCUGUGUUGGGGAAAGAAGGAAUAUUUGUUGAGGGACUCUUUUUUUUUUUUUUUUUUUUUUUUUUUUUUUUUUGAGACAGGGUCUUGCUCUGUCAUCCAGGCUGGAGUCCAGUGGUGUGAUUACGGCUCACUGCAACUGCAGUCUCGACCUCGCAGGCUCAAGCAAUCCUCCUGCCUCAGCCUCCUGAGUAGCUGGGACUAGAGG
rnacentral:lncRNA from 1 species